GGCGCUAUAGCCAAGUGGUUACGGCGACAGAUUAGAACUGAACCAGUUCAUAGCUGAGUCGAACCAGAUCUGUUCCUCUUCGAGGGCGCAGGUUCGAAUCCUGCUGGCGUCG
rfam:Daedalea quercina L-15889 unplaced genomic scaffold DAEQTscaffold_11, whole genome shotgun sequence.